AACGCCUCUUUCCAUUUACUCGGCCUGUAUGGACUUUAUGCGGAUGUCUAACGACUGCAGACAGUGCUGCCAUCAAACGGCUGGUGUAUACAAAAGCACAAACGCUGAUAACUGACGAUAAUGGUUCGGAUAUAUAAAAGGAAAACGGACCGAGGGAAGUAUGGUGGUGAAAAGCUCAAAUCAGCACUAAAUGCCCUAAAAGAUCAGCCGCUGAAGCAGGUUAGUCGCCAGUAUGGUAUUCCAGCUCGCACGCUACGUCGACACCGGGACCUCAAGGUGAAAUACAGCGGCGUUGUUGUUCUUGGGCCAAAGCAGCCAGUGUAAGAAACAGAGGUGCGAAAUGAGCAGCAGUGAGGAUGAAGAGUGGCCAUGUCUUAUAUGUGGAGAACCAUUCGAAAACAGCAGACCACGCGAAGUGUGGGUCCAGUGCCAUGACUGUAAGAAAUGGGCGCACAGAGAUUGUACAGAGGGUCAAGACUGUUUUAUUUGUCCCAACUGUGAUUCAGAUAGUGACUGAUAUCUGAUUCAAUGAUACAAACACCAGUUCAGAUACAAAUAGGGGGCAAACUGUUGUUUUAAUGAAGUUCAGGUUUCUUCCUUGAUUAAAAGUUGAAAGUUUUGUUUCAUUUAUGCUGGGGCAUCUUACCCCACAUUAAAGGGCGUUUUGCCCCAGGCACGGGGCAAGAUGCCCCCUUGGAUAAAAAUAUUUUAUUAAAGAUUGCAUGUUCAA